rnacentral:lncRNA from 1 species
UUUUUUGAGAAGUGAAUUUACUUUUAUCUAUUGAUAAAAAAAUAUUUUUGUUGUCAGACGAAGGGCACGAUGGAUGGCGCCGGCGGGAAGGUGAGCAGCGGUGGAGAUAAGCAAGGAAAGUAGUGUGAGGCGGUUGGCGGUGUUGAAGAGGAUGAGAGGGCCGCACACUUGGUGCCAUGCUACUGGAGGGCCCGCUGCUGGAGGCAGUCCUAGGGAUUUUUUGAUCAAUGACAGUAACGUUGGCGACCCAGGUAUCUUCUUCCAUCUCUGGAUCCUGAAUCUACAGCUCUCUAAUCUGCAAAUACAUGCAGUGGCGAUGGGUACAAUUGCAUGGUUGUGACUGCCAUUCUCCUACAGGUAAUCAGCUGUUCCAUUGCCACCGCAUAUAUACUCCGAUGAGUAUCCUUGAUGUCUUCCCUCCACAUUGCGUCUAAUGACACACUUCCACAUUCCGUCUGAUGACACACUUCCAACUGGAAUAUAUCAAUUACAUACCACGGUCAUAAGUAUCACACUUCCAACUGAUGACAUGUCAUGAUGAUGUGCUUUUUGGUUAUCCUAGGACUCACAAAAACAUGUCAUCUGAUCUGUUCCCCUUCGGUACAUUAGAGGUUAUAGGUCAUAUGUUGAACGGUUAUAAUGACUUUUUCUUUGUGUAAGUCUAUGCUAAAAUAUAUGCAAAUUUCCUCUCAAAACUCUACCAGUCAUAUUGUUAAGGGAGGAUCGAAUCUAUUACUUUGAAUUUAAGCUAUCACAUUUAUCAUAUAGUAUCUAAUAUUGGUAGUAGAUUAAAUUUUUGACAUGACUUUAAUUGAAAUUUUUAGGUGAAAUUUGAAACUUCCCUUGAGAGAUGCUAAAGUACUAUUUAUUUGACCGGCUUGGUGUACAUUGACCUUUACCGCCAGAAUGUUAUGAAUUAUAUUCGUGGUGGAUGAUAUGAAUGUCGGGGAGGUGAUGGGGAAGUAUGACGAGGAACUUGUGAAGGCUGAGGGAAUGGAGAAGAAGGGGAGAAUCUAAGUGGGAGGCUGACAUUGGCGAAGGAGAAGGCUAGAUGAGUGUUGGCAUUGGCAGACAACGGGUCAUUGCAGAUGGCAUUCACUGAAUUAUUCAAGGAAUUGAAGCUCCCAAAAUGAAUCAAAUAAAUAAGAUAGCAAUGAGACAUAGAAUGUCGUGUUAUUAAUUAUCUUUGUCCUCAAAAAGGAUGUCGUGAUAGUAGUCAUGCUUUGCAUAUAAGUUGCUUCAACAACUAUAUUCUUGAAAUGAUGUGCCAUAGGUAGGUGGAAAAACUAAGAAAUACAAGCAUUCCUCUGUGUGUG